rnacentral:lncRNA from 1 species
CAUCCUUUGCGUUUAAACAAUUGACUGAGAUAGUCAUACUUAUUCUAUAAGCUAAAUUACAUAUGUACCAAAAAAGAAAUUAAUGAAAUUCAAACUGCAUAAAUCCAAUCCAAAAUCUUAAAUAGAAGCAUCUUUAUUUCUCAAUCCCAUUAUUUUCCUACUAGUAGAUAAGCAAGUUUAGCUUACGGGAAAAUCUGCUAAUCUGCAAAAUAUUGUACAAAGUAAAAUAAAGGAAAAUCAAAUUAAAUUAAAUUGUAAAAAGAAAAUGUAAAUGAAAGCUUACAGGAAAGGAAGCUAAGGUAAGCCAAAUCGAUUUCAAUGUCGAUUGUUUCUGCAAUAAAACAAAGCAAAAAAAAAAAAAAGAUGAGAUUAAAACUAAAUGAAUAAACUAAGCUUGUAAUCUUAGUAAACAUUAUAAUAAAUUCAUUAAACUCGAAUCCUAUGCAAUUUCAAAAUUCUGAUAACUUUAUUUCCAGAUAUAAACAUAUAAACAAACAUUUACCACUUAAUUAUUUGAUUGAAUCAUAGAUUAACAGAAAGCUAAUUGACAAAUUUCAUAUAAACUUUUAUUAUAGAUUAACAGACAUAAAUGGAAGGGAAUAUAUAUGUAUAUAUUUCAACAACACUUUUAUUAUACACUUCUAUAAACUUAGACAGAAACAAACAGAAAAUAAGACCCUCAUAAUGGAAAAAUCUUCAUAAUUGAAUUAAACCCAAAAGUUCGAAACAACUAUUCCCCAAGAAUUACAUGACUUAACCAACUAUUCCCCAGGAAUUACAUAAAGCACUACAAGAUGAAUCACUCAAGCACACUAUAAUAAUCCAUAAACAUAAUCUUUAAGAGCUAUGCAAAAUCUUAUAGCAUGCUAAUUAUACCUAAAAACAUGUUUACAACAUAAUCAACUUCCAAGACCUAUCCACGAAUCAACAGCAACAUGAUUUUUCAUUUUGCAUUUCAGGAAACAUCAUCAAUCACUUAUUUUUCUUCUCUUUUUCCUUCGAACUUUUACCCAUUUUUUUAGCUUCAAAUUCAUCACCAAAAUAAUAAAUUAAGCAACAAUAAAAAUAAAUUUUAAAUAUAUUGAAAUGAUGCAAUUUGAUAGAAACAAACAGAGCCUGAAGAAGUUGAAAGAAGUAAGAAUGUUAGAUUAGAUUUCCAUUUUUAAUUCAAACUGUUUCUAAGAAAAAGGAAGAAUUGUAUUAAAUAUCCUCCAUUGACAUGACUCACUCGUCACUACUGACUCUACCCUCUAAUAUUUUCAUAGUAUCAACCACUAAAUACAUUAAGCGUGGGUAAUCUGCAGAAUCAUCUUGAAACAAAAAUUAAGUAAACAAAACACAUCAUGCCUGUAUGUUUUGUAACUAAAAUUAAGCGAAUCAUCUUGAGAGGUAAAAGAGUAGGUAAUCUGUAGAAAGUGGGAACUUAGCAUUAUCUACUCUUGAUUUCAGUCUGCAUUUCAGGUAAGCUUUUUGAUGCUUUAAUGCGUUUUAUUUUACAUUUGGUAUUUAUGUUAUUGCUGUUUUGAUGCAUAAAUUCAUUGAAAGAACAAUUGUGUUUAAUAAAGAGAAUGAAAACGAGGAAACUGAAGAAGAUGAGCAAACCCGUACCUGUACCAAACUCCUCGUUCUUGUAUGCUUGCUUCUCCUUGACGAUUCAGGAAUAAACAAACCGACCGGAGGUAGAUCGGUGGAGGUCUUGACGGUGGAAGACUCAGUCGAUUUUGGAAAUGGGAAAAAAAGGCAGUCGCACGGCACAAUAGAUAGGGUUAGGGAUUUUGUCUCUAUCAGUGUCAAGGAAAUGAAAGUAAUUGAAA